UACGGGGGGAGCAAGCGUUGUUCGGAUUUACUGGGCGUAAAGGGCGCGUAGGCGGCCACGUGCGUCCGUUGUGAAAUCGCCCGGCUCAACUGGGCGGGGUCAGCGGAUACGGCGUGGCUGGAGCAAGCUAGGGGGCAAUGGAAUUCCCGGUGUAGUGGUGGAAUGCGUAGAUAUCGGGAGGAACACCAGUGGCGAAGGCGGUUGCCUGGAGCUUUGCUGACGCUGAGACGCGAAAGCGUGGGGAGCAAACAGG
rnacentral:rRNA from 1 species